AGCUUUGCGCAGUGGCAGUAUCACAGCCAAUGACGUUUAUCCGAGGCACGGUUAUUGCUAAUUGAAAAAAAUAAAAGGAGGAAGAAUAGUCCAACCAGUUAAUCCCAAGCCUGCUGUCCCAUCUGCGCACCCCACUCUAGUCAAGAUGUACAGGGUGACAGCAUGGAAAUAAAAAAUUUAAAAAC
rnacentral:snRNA from 1 species